AUCCAGAUGACUAGUCUCAAAUAGGACGAAACACGCGUCCUGAAU
rfam:Schistosoma mattheei strain Denwood, Zambia genome assembly, scaffold: SMTD_scaffold0004074